GUGCCAGCAGCCGCGGUAAUACAGAGGGUGCGAGCGUUGUUCGGAAUUAUUGGGCGUAAAGCGCUGGUAGGUGGCUUGUUAAGUCGCGUGUGAAAUCUCCAGGCUCAACCUGGAAAGUGCGCGCGAAACUGGCGAGCUUGAGUGCCGGAGAGGGUCGCGGAAUUCCCGGUGUAGAGGUGGAAUUCGUAGACAUCGGGAGGAACACCAGAGGCGAAGGGGGCGACCGGGAAGGUAACUGACACUGAGCAGCGAAAGCGUGGG
rnacentral:rRNA from 1 species